AUACCAUGGUGUGGGCAAUGUCUUUGCAAGUCUUUAAAUCUUUCCCAAGCUUCAUAAAGAGAUUCUCCAGGCUGUUGCUUAAAUCCAGCGAGAUCUUGGCGAUAUUU
rfam:Ricinus communis cultivar Hale ctg_1100012350179, whole genome shotgun sequence.